ACGUAGGGUGCAAGCGUUGUCCGGAAUUAUUGGGCGUAAAGAGCUCGUAGGCGGCUUGUCGCGUCUGCCGUGAAAACCCCAGGCUCAACCUGGGGCGUGCGGUGGGUACGGGCAGGCUAGAGUGCGGUAGGGGAGAUUGGAAUUCCUGGUGUAGCGGUGGAAUGCGCAGAUAUCAGGAGGAACACCGAUGGCGAAGGCAGAUCUCUGGGCCGCUACUGACGCUGAGGAGCGAAAGCAUGGGGAGCGAACAG
rnacentral:rRNA from 1 species